GAGAGUUUUAAACUUUAUUUUAAAAAGAGAAAGAACCACUCUCGGGUUAUUCAGCCUUCGUAACAGUUGGCACCUCUUGUCUCUAGGUUUGCAGCAACCGAUGGAUGAGGUGGGGUGGGGAUCCAGAGCAAACACUUUGCUUGUCCUGACAAAACUCACGUUAACCUUUGGUCAUCAGCACAAUGGUGUCGUAAGGUGAUGAAACCUUUAUGAAGUAAUUAUGCCUUGGUGGGGUCCACUCUUACAAAGGGACUGUUGUAGCUCCAAUAAGAAUGGGUUAGUUCUUAUGAGAGCUGGCUGUAACUAAGUAAGCCUGGUGCACGCGCGCGCGCGCACACACACACACACACACACACAUACACACACAUACACACACAGUCUUGCACUUUUGUUCCCUUUUGCAUACUCUUGUUUCACACAGAGACAGCACACAGUCCCCACAAAAGCCAAGCAGAUGCUGGUGCCAUGCUCUUAGACUCUUGAAAUCACAAGCCAAAGUAAACCUCUUUAUGCAUCACCCCAGCCUUGGGUAUUUUGUUACAGUCCUAACAAAAAAAGACGAUGUCAGUUAAAAAUCAGUUUUUACAGAUUUAUACUUUCUUUUCCUAACUUGUACUAUUCAAUAAAACCCCUUUGACGAGAAUAUUCAUUUUAAAGGCAUGUAAAAAUGAUCAGGCACAGUAGCCUGCAUUUUUUUUUUAAAGAUUUAUUUUAUUUAUUAUAUAUAAGUACACUGUAGCUGUCUUCAGAUACACCAGAAGAGAGCAUCAGAUCUCUUUACAGAUGGUUGUGAGCCACCAUGUGGUUGCUGGGAAUUGAACUCAUGACCUCUGGAAGAGCAGUCGGGUGCUCUUAACCGCUGAGCCAUCUCUCCAGCCCGUAGCCUGCAUUUUUAAUCCCAGCAUUCGGGGGCCGAAGCAGGCAGAUUUUUUCGAGUCUCAGGCCAACCCGGUCUACAUAGGGAAAUCCAGGGUAGCUAGGACUAAGUAAAAAGAUCUUGUCUCAGUGAACAAAAACAACACCCCCCCAAAAAAAUUAUAAAAAUGUAUCUCCUGUGCAUUGUACAUAUUCUAUGUUACAGAGACUAAAAGGUUUAAACGGAUAGAAUUAUUGUCAAUUUUGAGAGCGCAUGUGCUCUCCGGGACAUUGUUGUGAAAGCUAAUUAGCCACACAAAAGCGAUUUAGCUUUCUGUGGGCUGCACGUGAGUCAACGGUACAGCCAGGCAAUGCUGUCUUAAUUCUCCCGAGAGCAAGAUUAGCAGGGGAAAAGGAGCUGAUUUUUCAAGUGAUAGCGAGAUGUCUUUGCAGACAGUUGAAUCUGGGUUGGCAAGGCAAAAAGUCAAACAGCAGAUCAAAACAAGAGAAGAAAACUGACUAAAAUAAAUGUGAUGAUACGGUUGCCUAAUUUAAACCUUCGAGUCUGUGUGAAUGAAUUAUGGAGUUUUCUCUCAGAGCUCCUGGUAAUUUCUCACCACUUGUUAGAUAGACCAAAUAAUUUUAAACAAACAAUCUGGAGGGGUUGAAUUUGGGUCCUAAUUUUUAAAACAUUAUUAGCAAGCAGAUGGUAACUUAAACACACACACACACACACACACACACACACACACACACACACACAGGCAAUGAUUGUAGACACUGCUCAGUCAAGUUUCUUGGCUGGCAUUGGCCAUCCUUUGACUACUUCCUGUCUCUCCAUCUGGUCCCACUUCCUGUUUUCUCGCUGGCUUACGGUGUGCAAAGGAUCAGCCUCACUCACUUGGCUGCCGUGCCUUCCCUGAGGCAACGGACUGCAAGCCAUAAUAAACCCUUUCUCCCCUAACUUGCUGAAUGCUGGGGUACUCUAUCAUGGCCACAGAAAAAUAAAUGACACAGAACACCUGAAGAGAGGAGGAAGCUGAGGACGAAGACCCACUCAUUCCUGGAAGCUUCCUGGCAUCCUUCACGUAGACAGCUAGAAUCUUCCACCUGAGCACCUUACCCACCAACAUGCUAUGCCAACAAUUUAAACACUCUCCUCCCAGUCUGAUAGCUCAUUUUUCUUCAGAUUAGCUAGUUUACAAAAGAAUGUAAUUGCUAAGUACAAUAAUAAUAAUAAUUAAUAAUAAUAAUAAUACCAAGGCCUAGCCUGUGAGCUGUGAGAAUAGGCAUCCAGGGAUCUAAGAAACGACUCACCAUUCAAAUAAGUAGGAACCAUGACUCCAGCUGGGAGCACUGAGUCCAAACAAGCAGUUGCCUAGGGCAGCAAAUCGCCAAGGUAGCAGACUUCCCAGUACUUUCUGUGAGAGCAAAAUACAGCCUGUGAGUGUAGAUAUUACCCGAUAAACAACAGGGUACAGGAAUAUGUAAAUCAGCAAAGCACUGGAGAGGUCAAGCAAUCCCACCACUGGACUCAGUGGGUGAAUGACGGAUGUUUUAAAAGUGGAUAUUCACAUUUCGACUUCUGGCUUCUGACUGUAAUCCCAGCACUUUGGGUGACUGAAGCAGGAGGAUUACUGUGAAGUUGAGGCCUGCCUGGACAACACGUUGCUGCUGUCUAACAAACCAUCCCCAAACUAGAUGAGUGAAGAUGGCAUCUCUUUCACUGUUGCUCAGAAUCCUGUGGUUGAUCAAGUUCAACUUUGGGCAGACUGGUCUGUACCCAGCAGUAGAGCAUCCAGAUAACCGCAGUUGGCCACUUCUCUGUUCCUGGCCUGAGGUACAGGCUGAAUGAGAAGCCAGCAGCUCCAUUUUUAAGAUGUUUGCUGUAUUCUCUGGCUAUCUGCAUACUCCCUGGGCACGCAGUUGCUGCUUUUCUGAGAAUUGGCAUCCAGCCUUUAACAGUCCAGCUGUAAAAGAAGAGAGAAUGCCUGUGUUCCCCAUGAUUCCUGACUCGCUGGGUAAGUGGACACCUACAAGCACUGUCCUGUGAAAUUAUCUAUUGGUCCUGCCCACUUUUCUGACUUCAGUGAAUGCAUGUCACUAGAUCAGACCUUUAUAGGAAGCAAUAUGUAUUUUCUUCUACUACAGAGACAUUUCAAGUGGUAUUUUCAGUACUGGUAACACCAUCAGUGCUCUCUAUAUUGUAGUGAUUGAAUGACGAGGAGACACAUAGUGUAUCAAGUCCCUUAGAGUCAUGAAACCUUGCUGGGAAAUUUCAGAACUGAGGUCCAAGUCUGUCGAUUCCACACAAAGGUACUGCAUUGAGUUUGUUCAGGUUUUCUGGGACUCUUUUGCCUGAAGCGCACAGAAGUGGAAGGACGGACUCAGGACUUCUUUGUCAGGAAGACCAAACACUCAGGAGUCCAGAGCAAGCACUGAACUUGACAAACACCAAGUAGAUCCAUUCUACCAGUCAGGGAUGAUGUUGGCAUCACGAGAGAGAACCUGCAAAGACUUCUUCUGGCUGCCUCAGAGGACAAAGUUGGGCGAGGAGGUGAAAGUGCUUUCCCACAUGAACUAUCCUAAAGAACCAAAGGAAACAGUUACAUGUCUGGAUUUCAACUGGGUGUUCAAAUCAACAGGGUAUUCCCACUGGCAAAGUGAGUUGAGGAAGCUGUAUUAUCAAAAUAUUCUUCAGGGACAUUAGUUAAAAACACUGGCUAACAAGCCUGAUGACCUUGGUUCAAUCUUAGGACCCACAUGGUGGAAGGAAAAAACCAGCCGCCACAAGCUGUCUUCUGAUCUCCCUACAGAUUCUCUCUCUCUCUCUCUCCUUCCCUCCUUCCCUCUCCCUCUCUCUUACACACACACACACACACACACACACACACACACACACACACACACACACACACACCUAUGGAUAUCAAGCCCUUGCCAGCCAUAGAGUCCCCUCUUACAUUGCACGUCCUACAGUUCUGUUAAAUUACAUCAGUCCUGGGUCUGAUCCUAGAACAUCCCACCCCAGGGCCUAGCUCUAGCUGCCCUGUGUAUCUGGAAUGUUCUUCCUCUGGCUUGUCUUGAUGAGCUUGGCCCCUUCAUCUUCCUUCAACCACAGCAUAACAUUUCUUCACCAGAAGGGUCUCAAGGUGUCAACGGUGCUCAUUUCCUUAUGCUCAAUCUCACUUCUUGCUCAUUUCUCCCCCUAUUCCAUUCAGGGAUGAAAUGAUUUUGUUCAUUUCUUCAUUUACUGACUGUCUCCCACAGGAAGGCAGAGAUCAUACUCGCAUUUCCAGUGCAAGGCACAAGGAAGCGCUACGCGUUGAAUGACACCCUUCCUACCUCCAAUUCUAAUCUGAAGCACUAGUCCUCAGUGCGGGGUCCUUGGAGAAAGGGUUGGGGAGGUGAAUUAGUGUAGGUGAGUUCAUGAAGUAGGGCCCCAGAAAGGAGAAACUUGGAGAAAGAGAAAACUAAAUUCUUUACCAGAGACAGGACCCAUUUAGAAUCAAGUGUUAACUUUAUAGGCUGUCAAUGUAGCUUGGGGGCUAGAGAGUUUCCCUAGCAUCUGGUCAGGGCCUAGGUUGAAUCACCACCAUAAUGAAGUCAUAAUAUAUGUGGUGAUUUGAAUAUGCUUGACCCAGGUAUGGCCUUGUCAAGUAUGUCACUGUGGGUGUGGGCUUAGAGACCGCCUCCUAGCUUUCUGGAAGACUUCUUUUGUUUGCCUUCGGAACAAGCUGUAGAACUCUCGGCUCCUCCAGCGCCUGGAUGCUGUUAUGCUUCCUGCCUUGAUGGUACUGGACUGAACCUCCAAUCCUGUAAGCCAGCCUCAAAUAAAUGUUGUCUUUUAUAA